GUAAAGGUAUGAUGCAGUUUAUUCCUGCCAUUUUUAGUUUCCACCAGAGGUUUUAUAACCUUCCCUGGAUGUCUGAGUGA
rnacentral:snoRNA from 1 species